GCCUGCGGCCACACCACCUUGAAUAAGCCUGAUCUCGUCUGAUUUCAGAAGCUAAGCAACGUUGGGCUUGGUUAGUACUUGGAUGGGAGACCACCUGGGAAUAUCAAGUGCUGUAGGCAUU
rnacentral:rRNA from 1 species